UAGCAGUAAGAAUUCCGUUGUAUCCUUUUUACUUCAGUGUAUUCAAUUAAUAACUUGAUUCUAAUGAACUUUGGUAAUUAUACUAUGAUCUUUUCGUCUCGCCAACAUAUUUGAUUUCACCAUUAUACAUUUGGCCCAUUUUCAGGUUUAGUUCGUGGCUCGCGAUUAUCGGCAAGCGUUUCAGCCUCCAGUGUGACUUCUCCAGAAUCCAAAGUGGUCUCAUCGCCGAAGGAUCACUCAGAAUCAUUAAACAGCGAGUUGGCCAAGGAAUCUGUCGAUGGAUGUUUGCCAAGUAAACUGACAUCUGGAUCUUAUAAUGUGACAAAUCCACCUACAACCCCACCGGCCACCUCUCCCAACACCUCAUCUAACCAGACGAACUCUGAAUUGACGAGGUCUAACGAAACAAAUGGUGUUGAUACAGAUCUUGAUGUGGUAAGUCGCGAUGGAUCUUUAUACCACCCAACACUCUUCAGAGCAAAAGCUCCAAGAAAAAGGCCUCCAUCUACAAUCAUUCUUAAAGAAGACUUCACCCUUCCGGAGGAACUAACGAAUGGAAAUGGAACGACUAAUAAUGAAACCAAUGUUGAAGUAACGGAAACAUCCCCUCAUCAAGCAAAUAAACCACCAUGGGUGGAGGAGUUAAAAAUGAAUCAAGCCAAAAAGAAUCUUCUUCAAGGGCGAACAAGAGUGAUCAUUGGGCCAAGCCAGACAACGUGUUCAAGUAAUGAGACAGGAACGAUAAUGACUAGCACAACAAUUAUCUCAUCCUCUUCAGUGCCCUCAACUGUCCCUGCCAUGGAGCAGACUACAACAAUCACAUCUGGAAAGUCCGGUUUUGUAACUACAGGGGUCGGUGUCACUUUCCGGCCGAACACCAGUGUUCAGCGACCUGUUUCUAUGCAGGCAUUGCCAAAUGAUAGUGUCAGUGUCUCGCUGAAGGAAUGGAAUGAACUGUAUAGUAAAAUUGACCGUCUGGAACUAGCACUUAUAAAUCAACAAGAAUCAUUUAGUAAGGAAAUAUCAAGUUUACAGAAGCAAUUAAGCGAAGAAGUUGGGCAUCGGAAGAAAAUGCGACAAGAAAUAGAUAAAUUAAUAGACCUCAUGACACAGGUAUAG
rnacentral:lncRNA from 1 species